UACGAAGGGGGCUAGCGUUGUUCGGAAUUACUGGGCGUAAAGCGCGCGCAGGCGGUCCUCCAAGUCAGUGGUGAAAGCCCGGAGCUCAACUCCGGAACUGCCAUUGAAACUGUUGAACUUGAGGACGAGAGAGGUGAGUGGAAUUCCCAGUGUAGAGGUGAAAUUCGUAGAUAUUCGGAGGAACACCAGUGGCGAAGGCGGCUCACUGGCUCGAUACUGACGCUGAGGUGCGAAAGCGUGGGGAGCAAACAGG
rnacentral:rRNA from 1 species